UACGAAGGGGGCUAGCGUUGCUCGGAAUCACUGGGCGUAAAGAGCGUGUAGGCGGUUCGGUAAGUCUGUCGUGAAAUCCUGAGGCUCAACCUUGGACGUGCGAUGGAUACUGCCGGGCUAGAGGAUGGUAGAGGCGAGUGGAAUUCCCGGUGUAGCGGUGAAAUGCGCAGAUAUCGGGAGGAACACCAGUAGCGAAGGCGGCUCGCUGGGCCAUUCCUGACGCUGAGACGCGAAAGCUAGGGGAGCGAACAGG
rnacentral:rRNA from 1 species